AGUGAAUGCUGGCGGCGUGCUUAACACAUGCAAGUCGAACGAGUAAGUGUCGUAGCAAUACGAUAACUGCUAGUGGCAGACGGGUGAGUAAUAUAUGGGAAUCUACCCUGGGGUGGGGGAUAACAGUUGGAAACGACUGCUAAUACCGCAUAACACCGAGAGGUCAAAGAUUUAUUGCCUCAGGAUGAGCCCAUACAAGAUUAGCUAGUUGGUGGGGUAAUGGCCUACCAAGGCUACGAUCUUUAGUUGGUCUGAGAGGAUGAUCAGCCACACUGGAACUGAGACACGGUCCAGACUCCUACGGGAGGCAGCAGUGGGGAAUAUUGGACAAUGGGCGAAAGCCUGAUCCAGCAACGCCGCGUGAGUGAUGAAGGCCUUAGGGUUGUAAAGCUCUUUUAAUAGGAAAGAUAAUGACGGUAUCUAUAGAAAAAGCCCCGGCUAACUUCGUGCCAGCAGCCGCAGUAA
rnacentral:rRNA from 1 species